UUCCAGAAGGUGCUUUUUGUCCUAUCUGGGUGCCUGAACGUGCAAUCAGACAUGGAAGAGAUAGAACCGAGAUUCAAGCGACUGAAGAUCGACCCAGAGAAGCCCCCAUCCAAAAGGAAGAGAUAUUGGAAAAAGACAAAGAUAAACCAGAUUGACCCAGCCAAAAAGCUGAUUUCAUGGGAAGAUGUGAAGAAGCUAAUAACACAGGCUGCCUGAAUAAUUCGACUCCUAGGAAAGAACAGGACCCCAGUCUUGCUGGGCUGCCAGGUAAAGGGGAACCAGAUAGACACUUACUGGACAUAUUUCCCAGAUCCACCCCUGGUACAUCUAGCUGUGUGGACUGGAGAAUCUAUUCCAGUGUUUACUAAUGACUCAUUCAUGAUGGGAGGAUUUACAGAUACUCAUAUUACUCCCAAUCAUGUGACUAGAUUUAAUUAUUCUGGCUACAGUGCCCAAUUACCUUUGUGUUGGUCCCACGAUAAACAUGCUGGCUGGCUG
rnacentral:lncRNA from 1 species